AUUUAAAUAGCUUAUAUUGAGAGUAUAACAUUGAAGAUGUUAGGGAAGUUUUAAACUUUUAAAUA
rnacentral:tRNA from 1 species